CUCAGAGGUUGACAUCUCAAGAUAACUCAGAUCAGACUUUGAUCCCUCAUAUCUCUACUAUUUUUCAGAUGCUCAUAACUCAGUCCGUAUGACUUGAGGAGCUUGAGGGAUGUGUUCUGAGACUGACAGACAGAGUUCUAGAUUUGCAGAGGCAAGUAUUAGCUUUAACCCAUCCCCAGCCGCAUGAGGACAUCACAGAGGUCUCAGACCUAUCUGUAGAGGUGGCUAGACUUCGAGGAGUUUUAGAGAGUGGA
rnacentral:lncRNA from 1 species